AUACCAACGGUGCUACAGUUGCAUGCCGGAUGCUCGAACUACGAACCGCUAAUGCUCGUGUGAUAGACCCACCAGCGGGGCCCUCCGGAAUGCCGAUUUGGUUGGAUGACGUCGUAUGUAAAGGAAAUGAACACACGCUGUUAGAAUGUGAUCAUAGGCACAUUGGUUAUCAUAACUGCAUUCACACCGGGGACGUCGGUUUGGUUUGUGCAUAACUCGUAUGCAAAAUAAUAAAAGCACACGUGCGACUAUGCCAUGGAUAAUAAAGGAUGUUGUUUAUUGUAUGAAACCUAUUUAUUUUGUAAAUGUACCUUUUUAAUGUUAGACGUUUAUUAAAAAUAUAACAUAUU